CCAAUAAUGGAGAAAGGCUUCACAUUUUUUCUGUCAACACUCUUCUUGCUUAUGGCUAGUUCAGUCAUGACCCAAACCAACAUUACUACAGAUCAAUUAGCUCUUCUGUCUUUAAAAUCCCAAAUCAUUUCCGACCCCUUUUACUUCUUGGAUGAAAGUUGGUCUCCCACUACGUCCGUUUGUCAUUGGGUUGGAGUCACUUGUGGCUCUCGUCACCAACAUGUGAAUUCCUUGAAUCUUUCUAACAUGGCUCUUACAGGCAAGAUUCCCCGUGAAUUUGGAAACCUCUCAUUUCUUGUUUCUCUUGACUUGGGAAGCAACAAUUUCCAUGGAAACUUGCCUCAAGAAAUGACACGCUUGCGUCGGCUUAAGUUUCUUGGUUUAAGUGUCAACAGCUUCAUCAGGGAGGUUCCCUCUUGGUUUGGGUUUUUACACCAACUUCAAUUUCUAAGUCUUGGAAAUGAUAGUUUCACUGGUUCCAUUCCUUCUUCAUUUUCUAAUGUGUCUACACUUGAGACUUUGAAUCUGUAUUUCAAUUCCAUCGAGGGUCAAAUCCCAAAAGUUACUGGAAAUCUUCUAAAUCUUAGAGUAUUAAACUUGAAAGGUAACAAGCUCGUAGGCUUUAUUACUCCGUACCUCUCUAAUGCCUCAAGGUUGGAGACUUUAAAAUUAUCUUACAAUUCACUUCAAGGAAACAUUCCAGAAGGGAUCAACAAUCUUCACAAUAUGAACUGGUUGUCCAUAGAAUCUAAUCAAUUUACUGGUUCUAUACCAUUCAAAGUUUUCAAUAUUUCUAGGAUCGAGUUCAUUGCAUUUACUGGCAAUAGCUUAUCAGGAAGUCUUCCCAAUGGUUUAUGCAAUGGUCUCCCAAAGCUCAAAGGGCUUUAUCUAUCCAAAAAUAAGCUUCAUGGUCCUAUGCCUACAAGCUUAUCAAAUUGUUCACAACUUCAAAUUUUGUCUUUAUCGGGAAAUGAGUUUGAUGGACCAAUACAUAGUGAAAUUGGAAGAUUGAGUAACUUGCAGAUAUUGUAUCUGGGAACUUACCAUUUCACUGGUACGUUCCAUCUUAUGAAUACUAGCACUAUUGUAUCUUAUUACUUCAGAAUUUUAUUUUAUUACACAUUAUUUUCAGAGAUAAUUCCUCAAGAAAUUGGAAAUCUUCUUAAUUUGGUAGAGUUAGCCAUGGAGGAUAAUCAGAUUACUGGCUCUGUCCCGAUCUCCAUAUUCAAUAUCUCAUCGCUGCAAGUUUUGUCAGCGUAGCAGAACAAUCUUAGUGAAUUCUUACUAUGGGAAAUCGGCAACUUAACCGAUUGGUGGAAAUAAGCUUAUAGGUGAAAUACCCAAAGAGAUAAGCAAUCUCAUUCAGUUGGAGCAACUUAAUCUUGGGUUUAAUAGUUUUAGUGGUUCACUUGAUAUGGAGAUUUCAACAUAUCAGGGCUGAAAAUAAUUGAUCUUUCACUCAACAGUCUGUCAGGAAGCCUCCCACCAAACAUAGGUUCAAUCUUACCCAACAUUGAAAGACUUUUUCGGGAUGGCUUAACCAAUCUUGUUGGGAAUAUUCCUCAUUCCAUCUCCAAUUGUUCAAAACUUACUAUUCUUGAGCUUUCUAUCAAAGAACUCACAGGCUUGAUUCCCAGCUCACUUGGAUAUUUGACUUAUCUACAGAUACGGAAUUUAGGAGGAAACAAUUUAACCAGCGACUCAUCAUUAAGCUUCCUGACAUCCUUAACCAAUAGCAGAAAUUUUACAGUUCUUUAUCUAUAUUCCAACCCUCUAAAUGGCAGAACCUUUCCACCUCUCUUAGAAAAUUUUACGCCAACAAUGCAAAAUCAAAGGCCGAAUUCCAAAUGAAGUUGGAAACUUAAGCAGCUUAUUAGACCUUGAUCUUUCUGGAAAUAACUCGGUUGGAUCGAUUCCAACAAUUAUUGGAAACUUGAGAAACCUUCAGUUGUUCAACUUGACUAUCAACAAAUUAACAGGAUUUAUUGGAGAUCAUAUAUGUAAAUUGCAGCAUUUGGGUGAAAUUUACUUGGGUCAAAAUCAACUUUCAGGAUCCAUUCCUUAUUACUUUGGGAAUAUUACUUCACUCAGGGAGAUACAUUUGGGUUCCAAUAUACCACCAAGCUUAGGGAACCUUCAAGAUCUAGUGGUUCUUGACUUAUCGUCAAACAACAUGGUAGGUUUUUUACCUGCAGAAAUUGGAAAUCUAAAGGUUGUAACGGAGAUGGAUUUGUUGAUGAAUCAAUUCUCAGAUGAAAUUCCUAGAGAAAUUGGAGGAUUGCAAAAUCUGGCACACCUUUCUUUGAGACACAACAAGUUGCAAGGAUAUAUACCUGACUCAAGGAGAAACAUGGUAGGUUUGGAAUUCCUAGGCCUUUCUCAUAAUAAUAUAUCUAGAAACAUUCCCAAGUCUUUGGAGAAACUUCAAAAUUUGAAGUAUUUCAAUGUUUCUGUCCACAAAUUGUAUGGUGAAAUACCCUCGGGGGGGGGGGGGGGGG